rnacentral:lncRNA from 1 species
CUACGAAAUAACCAACAUGCAAGGCGUAAAAGUUCUGAGAACCUGGAAUGCAAUGCAUCUCAAAAAAUACUAUCACUAAACAAACAACUUCACGAUUACCGAACUACGAGACGGCUUGAUCUCCAUAAGGAGUACGUAGGCAGUUUGUCGAAAGACGAAUUCAGGUGUCCCCCCUCACUAAAAGGGGGGGGGGAGUGGAUACGUAUACUCGUAUAGUCUCUCAAAAUAUCUGACCACACCCUCGAUAUUUCUGAAACUUUUUAACCGAGCAAAUCAUCUUCAUCCGCAAAUAAACCAGUCGCUAAGAAAAAACCAACCUUCGACCCUGCGAAACGUCGCACAAAAUCGCCUAAAGAGUUGUUUCCUGGCCGACAAAUUGAAACCCUCGUCACGAAAAACAAUAUACUCAUCAACAUCUCAGCAAAACACAUAUUCUUCGCGAAGACCCAAACGGUAAUAUCUACCACCAAGUUCGUUGCUGAUCACAUCGAACUCUUAAACGUCCUAAACAGACAUAGCCAUCUCACGAAGAUGACUCUCGUACAUCCGACACAAGGAUAAUAGUGCUAUAAAAGAAAUCCGAAAUUUUGGUCUAGCACUUCCAGUUGGCUUAAAAAUUGUCUCUGGAGAGAUGCUCGAUUCGUAUCAGACAAGUUGUAUAAGCCGAGAACCUAUCACGGACUUUAAAUCGGUACGAAUCAGGGUAAAAUCGCAACAGAUAGACCGAUAGCCGGCUAUUCCCCGCAUUAAUCUUAAAACCGAGAGUAAACCUAGGUCUUGCCCUAAACCCAGCGCACUCGUCUCUAACAUCUCAAGGCAUGAUAUCGAAAAGAUAUGAGAUCCUAAACCAUACCUAUAUGUUUAUUUUCAACGUCUCCAGAUACCCCGCGAAACCUGGAUCUCGCGGAAAAACUCUAGAAACAGACCGAGAACAAAGCAUUAUCUUCCUUCCACAUCAUGCACUAACUCACA